AAUAGAUACCCUGGUAGUCCAUGCCGUAAACGUUGGGCACUAGGUGUGGGGCUCAUUCCACGAGUUCCGUGCCGCAGCAAACGCAUUAAGUGCCCCGCCUGGGGAGUACGGCCGCAAGGCUAAAACUCAAAGGAAUUGACGGGGGCCCGCACAAGCGGCGGAGCAUGCGGAUUAAUUCGAUGCAACGCGAAGAACCUUACCAAGGCUUGACAUGCACGGGAAGCCACCAGAGAUGGUGGUCUCUUUGGACACUCGUGCACAGGUGGUGCAUGGUUGUCGUCAGCUCGUGUCGUGAGAUGUUGGGUUAAGUCCCGCAACGAGCGCAACCCUCGUCCCAUGUUGCCAGCGGGUUAUGCCGGGGACUCAUGGGAGACUGCCGGGGUCAACUCGGAGGAAGGUGGGGAUGACGUCAAAUCAUCAUGCCCCUUAUGUCUUGGGCUUCACGCAUGCUACAAUGGCCGGUACAAAGGGCUGCGAUACCGUAAGGUGGAGCGAAUCCCAAAAAGCCGGUCUCAGUUCGGAUUGGGGUCG
rnacentral:rRNA from 1 species